rnacentral:lncRNA from 1 species
UGAUAUUGCAAUAAACAAGCCAUUCAAGGACCAUUUGCACAUGGAAAUCAAUGACUGCAUUCAAAAUAGAAUGGAGAGAAAUCAGUGUGGAAACUUUGUGAAGCCUAGCAUGUAGGAGGUCAUGAUUUUGGUGAAGAAUUCAUGGAAUAAAAUUACUUCACAGCUGUGUUGUUAAUGUACUACAACCAGGCUACAUGGACAAGAUGUGCUCAUUUAAAGAGAGCUCUAUUGCUGGACAUGCAAGAUUGGGGCCAAUGGUUCUACAGGAAAUGGAAUUUCAAGACAUUCAGGCUGGAAUUCAGAGUCUGUAGAGUUAUGAUGAUGAUGAUCCAGAAGAUGACAUGACUGUAUUUGAAUAAAAAUAGAUUUUUUGUACAUGAAAAAUAAGAUCUCCUGAAAAAUUAUCGGUAAUACGUCUUUUGGAGCAAAAAUUAAUAUAAUACCCAGUCUUAUUUUUG